rnacentral:rRNA from 1 species
CUGGUCUCGAUCCUGACCUCCGCUGUCGGUGGUCAUGAUGUUNGCUGCAGAUUACACGCUCCCGUCCAACUGCAGCGCCAANCCCUUUAUUGUUAGGUUGCUACUGCAAGAGCACUCUAGUCGAGACUGCCGUCUGACAUAAACGGAGGAAGGCGGGGACGACGUCAAAUCAUCAUGCCCCUUAUGUCCUGGGCUACACACGUAAUACAAUGGCGGUCAACAAAGCGAAGCAAAGCCGGAGGUAGAGCAAAUCGCAAAAAGCCGUCCCAGUUCGGAUUGCAGGCUGCAACUCGCCUGCAUGAAGUUGGAAUUGCUAGUAAUCGUGGAUCAGCAUGCCAGCGGUGAAUACGUUCCCGGGUCUUGUACACACCGAAGG